AUUGAACGCUGGCGGAAUGCUUUACACAUGCAAGUCGAACGGCAGCACGGGGGCAACCCUGGUGGCGAGUGGCGAACGGGUGAGUAAUACAUCGGAACGUGCCCAGUCGUGGGGGAUAACGUAGCGAAAGUUACGCUAAUACCGCAUACGAUCUACGGAUGAAAGCGGGGGACCGUAAGGCCUCGCGCGAUUGGAGCGGCCGAUGUCAGGUUAGGUAGUUGGUGAGGUAAAGGCUCACCAAGCCGACGAUCUGUAGCUGGUCUGAGAGGACGACCAGCCACACUGGGACUGGGACACGGCCCAGACUCCUACGGGAGGCAGCAGUGGGGAAUUUUGGACAAUGGGCGCAAGCCUGAUCCAGCCAUUCCGCGUGCAGGACGAAGGCCUUCGGGUUGUAAACUGCCUUUGUACGGAACGAAAAGGCUCUGGUUAAUACCUGGGGCUCAUGACGGUACCGUAAGAAUAAGCACCGGCUAACUACGUGCCAGCCGCCGCCGUAA
rnacentral:rRNA from 1 species